AUAACGAUCCGGAAACGGGUGCUAAUACCGCAUAGUUUUCUUGAUCGCAUGAUUGAGAAGGAAAGACGGCCUUUGUGCUGUCGCUUAUGGAUGGACCCGCGGCGUAUUAGUUAGUUGGUGAGGUAAUGGCUCACCAAGACGAUGAUACGUAGCCGACCUGAGAGGGUGAUCGGCCACAUUGGGACUGAGACACGGCCCAAACUCCUACGGGAGGCAGCAGUAGGGAAUCUUCCGCAAUGGACGAAAGUCUGACGGAGCAACGCCGCGUGAGUGAAGAAGGUUUUUUCCGGAUCGUAAAACUCUGUUGUCAGAGAAGAACAAGUUGGAGAGUAACUGCUCCAGCCUUGACGGUAUCUGACCAGAAAGCCACGGCUAACUACGUGCCAGCCGCAGC
rnacentral:rRNA from 1 species